UACGUAGGGUGCGAGCGUUGUCCGGAAUUAUUGGGCGUAAAGCGCGUGUAGGCGGCUUUGCAAGUCGGGUGUGAAAGCCCUCAGCUCAACUGAGGAAGUGCGCCCGAAACUGCAGAGCUUGAGUGCCGGAGAGGGUGGCGGAAUUCCCCAAGUAGUGGUGAAAUGCGUAGAGAUCGGCAGGAACACCCAGGGGGAAACCAGUGGACUGGGCAUGUGCUGACGCUCAGGUGCGAAAGCGUGGGGAGCGAACCGG
rnacentral:rRNA from 1 species